AGGAUUAACGCUGGCGGCGUGCCUAACACAUGCAAGUCGAACGAGGGGGGCAACCCCCGAGUGGCAGACGGGUGAGUAACGCGUGGUCAACCUACCCUAGAGUGGGGAAUAACUAGCCGAAAGGUUAGCUAAUACCGCAUGAUACGUUUUGGGACAUCCCAGGACGUUGAAAGGAGCAAUCCGCUCGAGGACGGGACCGCGUCCGAUUAGCUAGUUGGUGAGGUAACGGCCCACCAAGGCUCCGAUCGGUAGCUGGUUUGAGAGAGCGACCAGCCACACUGGGACUGAGAAACGGCCCAGACUCCUACGGGAGGCAGCAGUGAGGAUUUUCCGCAAUGGGCGAAAGCCUGACGGAGCGACGCCGCGUGUGGGAAGAAGGCCUUCGGGUCGUAACCACUGUCGAAGGGGACUAUACUGAAGGUACCCUUGGAGGAGCCCGGCUAACUACGCGCCAGCAGCCGC
rnacentral:rRNA from 1 species